CUAAGUUUCACCCCAUGUUCCAAAAGGGAAAAAAUCUCUUGAGAAACAGAGGAAAAGAACAGUUAGGCAAGGUACUUCGGGUAAUUUGUGCCAAGUAUAUAAAUGCCAUGCUAACCUCCAUUUGCACAGACAAUGGCAUUCAUGGAUCCCUUCCUCAAUCCUUGGUACUGGAGAAACAAUUAGCCCUCACCAGGCACAACCUAUUCAUACUGUGCAUUUCCCUCUUGAAGUGAGCGACCCAAGAAUAGGCCCUUGCCUGAUGUCUUUGUGGAGGCCAUCUCACUUCUGGAACAAAGCUUGGCACCUACUAUUUGCAGAACAAGCUAAUCACCGAACUGAACUGGAAUCCAGAUGCAGACGAGUGAAGAGCAAAGGGGUCCAGACGAGGCUGGUGAAACCCACAGAAACAGCUGACCUGAACAUCAGGGAACUCUUGCUCCCCAGACUGAUAGCUGGGAUACCAGCAUGGGACUGAUCCAGACUCCAGGAACAUGGGUUCCAGUGAGGAAACCUCUGAAAUCUACGGGACCUCCUGUAAUACUUCAGUACUUAUCCCUAGCAUAGGUGUGGACUUUGGGAACCCAUUCCACACCCUGAGCCAAGACAUUCGGGGGUGGGCCUAGGCCCUAUCCUAAAGGAUAUGAUAGACUCUGAUGACACCCUAUGGAAGGCCUCACUAUCCAUGGGGGAGCAGAAAGGAUAUGUGAUAUGUAGGGUUUUGGUUGGGGGGAAUGGUAGGGGAGGACGGGAGGGAGAAGGGAACUGGG
rnacentral:lncRNA from 1 species